rnacentral:ncRNA from 1 species
ACUAUUUGACCCUGGUAGAGCAAAAAGCGGAGCUAGUAAAGCUACAUACGAUUAUUAUAUUUGUAGGAGUAGUGGUAUACAAAAAUUAACAAGUUUUGUUUAGUGUAGUAGUUAAGACUGUAGAUUAUAAAGGAAUUUAAUAGUGGUUACUAGUUAAAGAAGAGACUAAAGCACAGUGCCAGCAGUCGCGGUUAAACUGUUUACUUCUCGUUUUAGUUGUAGGUUUAAAGAAUUAUUAAAUAAGUUAGAAAGUAUGUUGGUAAUAUAGACUUUUGUUAAAGAAGAGUUUAAUAAUUUUUGGAGAGUCUGAGAAAAAUAGGGAUUGGAUACCCCUUUAUUAGACUUCGAAAUUUUAGUCCACAGUUCGGAACUGAAAGGGUUUGGCGGUAAAUUAGAUUCGUCCGGGGGAAUGUGCAAAUUAAAAAGAUGGUCCGCUAAUUAUUUUACUAUAAAAAUAUAAGUUAGUGUAUAUCCGUUUAUAAAUUUACGUUUAGAGAUUUUAAGUGAGUAAAAAAUUAGAUAAUUUAAGACAGGUCUAUAUGCUGCUAAUGUUAUAGGUAGUUGUGCGUUACAUUAAAAAGUUAAGUAGAUGAAAUUCUCUUAAGGAUUGAGGACUCGGAAGUAGGAGUAAAAAAGUAUGUUACUUCGAAGGUUGAAAUAGUUUAUGUACACAUCGCCCGACAAUCUCGGUGGUGAAUUGAGUUAAGUCGUAACAUGGUAGUGUUUGAAGAAUCAGGCGCUAAAAUUUUUUCAUUAGUGG